CCAAAUUACCGUCGGAGUUGUGAGGAGCGGGGCAACGGCCCAGGCUGCGUGCCGGCCACGGGUCACUGUCGCCGCCUCCUUGGGCGGAGCAGCGCCGAGGAAGGGCCUCGGAGGAGCAGCGCCGGGGGGCGUCGAUGCAGGGCUCCUCCGCCAGGAGUCGACGUGUUGCCUCGGGAGGAUUAGUAGCGCCGAUGGGGUCGCCUCGCGUCGGAAGGGGCCAGUCCGAGGACUGCGGCUGUGGUCGUCGCCGCGCCGCUGCGCAAGUGGCGCCAUGGACGAGUGUGCCUGCUGCGGUGGUGCGGAUUUAUUGGUGCUGCGGAGGUUCCCCUGCACUCGGAGGAGGCGGCGGCGGUGGGAAGGGCAUGGACCGGCUUAGUACCGGACAGAGCUCCGCCAGUGAGUUGUUCCUCUUCCGGUAGAAGGCGGCACUCUCCUCCGCCUCCUCCUUGAGCGGCGCCGCCGAACGGGAGACGACCAAGGAUGUCGCCCACCUCGCGUUGUUCCUUGUUCUCUUGCACCCUUCUACCCGGACAACCUCGCCGAUCUGGCUGACGAGAUUGGGGGCCUGCUGGAUACAAACGCGCACGCACUGCCCUCGGGGCUACUGGUGCAGGCGUUGAUACUGCUUGUCAACUAGAAGACCCAGCAAGGUGUAAUAGUAUUUAAGCUAUCCUAGUUCAACCAUGGCCAAAUUGGCUCCAACAGAGGACCAUGAAAUGUCCCUGUUAUUUUUAGGGCAACUCUGAAUGGGCUCCUGAUAUCCAAUUUGGAGACCUUGCUCUCCACUGCUGUUGCAAUAAUGCAAGUGAGAAAGAAGGAACAAAGACGUGCCUCAACUCUUAGCAUGCCAGAAGUUGUCCACUUGGUAUCGGAACUUCCACUUUCUUAAUAUACCGAUUUGUUGUAGAGCACUAGAAAGUUUCUGACCUUUCAUUCUUGCGCUUCUACCUUUAGCACUUAAUCCCUCUCAAUCUUGUUAUAUUUUUUUUCAUGAUAUGCUGAAUUCUCAAGCCCUGUAACUCGGUUUUGUCAAACCAUUCUUCGUGAUUAGAACUGCAUGAUAAUAUGAUAUGCAUGAUUACUGCUCUUUCCUAAGUGAAUCUAUUUUUUUUCCUUGCAAAUUCUCAGCUGAUUGACUUUGAAAGCUUUGUCGUGUAUUAUCCCUUUUUAGUAUGAAACUAUGGUUUGUAAUAUCUACAGUACCCCCUGCUGCAAUCAAUUUCCUUCUAAAGUGACUUUUGAAUAGUUUUGUUCUUUCUUACUCUUGCCAGUGUUCUGAUUUCAUGUCUAGCUUCAGUUUUCUUGUCAUCUUUAGUCAGCAAAAUUCUAUUUUAGCAUGCGGAGUUAGAAAAAUUAUGGUAAUUAUUCCGUCAUGUAAUGAACUAAUUUUUCCUGCUAUUAAAGGUUGAUAUGAGAUCUUGCUUACCAAAAGCAAAAUUCCUGUUCCUGAUAUUAUUGUGAGUAUCCUUUGUGGGUUAACUAAUCUUACUCUGAAAAAAGGAGGCACGUUGAUUUCCUUCUGUGGGAUAGUGAUUACUUAUGUCAUUUUGAGUAUCUAAAUCUUUGUAUUCACAUUUUUUUUUUCAUUUUCCAUGUUCUGCUCUUUUAAUGCUGACUAUCUUCGUUUGCAUGAUCUCAUAUAUACUCUUGCUUAACGUGAUGUACAUUGUAUCUCUGGAGAAAUACCUUACAACACUGGUUUCCUUCAAGUAGCCAUACUGUAAGCCUUGGAUUAAUGUGAAUCAUCUAUACUCUUGCUUAUUUGUAUUCUGGCAAUAUACUGUUCUAUUUAUAUUCAAACUUUUACUUAAUGUUUUCAUUGUUAGUACAAUCAGUAAGACCUGUUUUUUCAAUGAAACAACAUUCUUUACUGGAAGCUUCAACUGUCAACGAAGACGAGGCGAAAUUGAUGGCAAGAACUCAUUCUGCAGCAGCUUCGACAUCGGAGAGAAAGACAUGAACUAUCUCGGGUUGGAGCUUCUGUCCUUGGCCUUGGUAACAAAGAUCAAAUCUGCUGACUCAUUGUUGGUAUAGUUACAUAAGAUAGACACUUCAUUUGUAAUUGCUGUCACUGUAAUUUGUGAUGUUAUUGUAAGGAAUUCAGCGUAAUAUUAAUUAUUAUGCAAUACUGUUAUUUUUAACCUGAAAA